UACGAAGGGUGCAAGCGUUACUCGGAAUUACUGGGCGUAAAGCGUGCGUAGGUGGUUUGUUAAGUCUGAUGUGAAAGCCCUGGGCUCGACCUGGGAACUGCAUUGGAAACUGGCUGACUAGAGUGCGGUAGAGGGGUGUGGAAUUCCCGGUGUAGCAGUGAAAUGCGUAGAUAUCGGGAGGAACAUCUGUGGCGAAGGCGACACCCUGGACCAGCACUGGCACUGAGGCACGAAAGCGUGGGGAGCAAACAGG
rnacentral:rRNA from 1 species